ACUCAGUCAAGCAGGCAUUAUGUCCCCAGGUCUUGGGGUGAGAGUUUAUGAGUGGUUUUCCAAGUACCUCCUCCCCCAGCAGCUCUGGGCCUGACACUCCCGCAGGAUCAGAUUUGAGCUGCUGUUGGAUUUGCCAGCCCCCUAAAGUCUUCUAGGGCAGUCUGAGCUUACUGUCUUGGAUGUUCAGAGUUGCUUGGAGCUGAGGUCAAAGAAACUGCAGAACUGGGAAACCACCUCCAAGCUCAGCAGUGAGCUACCAUCAUAUGUUUUGAGUUGGAACAGGCCCACAGAGGGAGGUAAAUGACAUCUCGGUGUUCCACAAAACAAAAACGCUUUAAAGCUCCUGUGAUUGAAUUAAAUGGAAAACUAACCAAGUGUACACAACAGGAAUAAAAGGUCAAUAUUGGAUGUCAAGUAAAGAAACUAACAGUUAAGUUCUGGUUUCAUCCACACACACUCAGCAUGUGAUUUUCAGCCCCUUGUGAUAAACUUCUACAAAGUUGAGUCAAAGAAUCUUUCAAUCAUUAGAUGUGAGUUAGGAGCAACCGAGCUGUUAGUAGACUCUAAACAAAAGUAGAUGAAGAAUGCAUUCAGAGAAUGAAUGGCACCCUGGACAGGGAGAGGAGAGAUCCAAGAAGUGGUCCAAGCUGAUACACAAUGUGAUCUUAGGGGAGUUAACUCGACUUUCUGUGGAUCUACUCAUGAAUCAGAAAGGGAAAAUUUCACUGCCUGCUCUUCCACAAUUCAAUAGGAUUAUACAAAACUGUCAGGGUAAAGUAGCUAAUGUACUAGAUGUAAAGCAAGUUAAAAUCUUAGUGAAAAAAAAAAAACCAAAUAGAGUUUAUGUCAAAGGGGCAAUUCCAAGGACAUAGGAGAGAAGAAAGUUCUUUGCAUUUGAUGUAGAGUCUCUACAAUUCUAUAAGCUGGUUCAUCUCAUUGUAUGCAAGCUGGCUUGGAAUGAAAUUAGAAUAGAUUGCUACUUACUCACGUUUUACUAAUUAUUUUCUCAUAACUUCCUCCUCCUCUGAUACUUACACUCAGAAUAAUAACUGGGAGUUUCCUGCCCUGUGAAUGAUUUCCGGGACAUUCCUUUGAUUCAGGGAAAUGGACUUCUAAUAGGGGUCGCUGAGGCAUGUUAAAGAUAAAAAGAGCAGAAAGAUGUCCCAAAAUGAUUAAACAAAUGGCUCCCCUGAGUUUCCUUAAAUGAAGAAGGAAAAAAUUAUUACCAAGAAAAUGAUCCCUCCCACACAUACCCGGCAGUUCAUGAAUACUCUCCUGAAUCAUGCAUCAGUAGUAAGCAGAGAGCACUCUUGAGUCCCAGGGGACAGGAGCAGCAUUACCACCUGGAUCGCAGUGGGGCUGCUUCUGAGAUGCUGGCCAGAAAAAUGCCAGGAGGGAGGGAAAUAAAAAGAUCACAGGUUUUUUUUUUGUUGUUUGUUUGCUUGUUUCUUUUUUGCCCCUAAUUAAUUUGCAUGGUUUGACUUAUGACCAGGAAAGAAAAGAAAGGUCAUUUCUUUUGCCCAGACCUCAAUGAACAGUAUGUUAAAACCAGGUAAAAAUUAAAAUGAAAAAGAGAGAAGGAAAAGUAUCUGUCUGCAAUUUAAUCCUCAAAACGCUUCACUCCUGUGUGGUAUACAGAAUAGCCUUCCAAAGAGGUCUACAUCCUAACCCCUGGAAUCUGAGAAUAUGUCAGGUUAUGUGACAAAUGGUAUUAAGGUUGCAGAUGGAAUUAGGGUUGUUCAUCAGAGGACUUCGAGAUAGGGAGAUACUGUGGAUAUGAAUGGGCAGGUCCAAUGUAAUCACAGAGUCCUCAAAAGUGGAAGAGAAGCAGAAGAGAAGAUCAGAAUGAUGUGAGUCAAGAAGAACACUGAUCAUCGAAGGAGAAACCAUGAGCAAGGGAAUGUGUGUGGCCUUGGUAAGCUGGACAAGGCAAGUAAACAGAUUCUGUCCUAGAGCCUCCCAAAAGGAAAGCAGACACCUUGAUUUUAUCCUGGUGAGACUGUGCUAUAUUUCUGACCUAUGGAACUAUAAUAUAAUACACUUGUGCUGCUCUAAGCCACCAAGGUUGUGGUAAUUCGUUAUGACAAAGAUGAAAAGCGAAUCCACCUGAGUCAAGAUCUAGAGCACCUCCCAGUGAAAACCAGUGAAAUAAUAAUGAUGUCCCAGUCCCAAGGAAUUCAUAUGUUUCAGAGAAUGGACUGCCUAGAAUUCCUGGGACUGACUCCCUCAGGGUUUACACUCACACCCAGCUUGAGAGGGCUCAACUCCCCAGCACUGCCUCUUCUGGUAUUUUUCUUCAACCAUUUGGAUUAUAGAAUAUAUGAUAUAUCUUUGUCAGUCCUCUUCUGAGAUCUGCGACAUAAAAAUGGAGUUAGACUUUCACCUAGGAUCCAUUUUCAAAGGACUUUGCAUAGAGAAAAUCUGAGGCAGGAAGGAGCAUCUUUUUAGUUUUUUAAUAGUGCCAUGAGUCAGAGAAUAAAUUACUCCUUCAGUACCUUCCCCUGCCCAUCUAUGUUCUGGCCUCUGAGUUCCUGGUUGUUUCAGAGUGUGGGUCAGUCUCCACAUUCAGGACCCCAAGGAGUACAACCCAAGACUUCUGAAAAUACUGAGAGGUUGCUUGGAUUCCCACAGCACAGAUUUAUUGCACAAUUUUGGCUACUUUCCUCAGAGUCAGGUUCCUUUACCAUAGGUCACGUCUCUACCUUUGCCACAGCAUCUCCUAUCUUUGUAAUAUUGUGCCUGUCUUUUGCUGAACUGUUUCCACGCUUGCUAUGGCCCAUACCGGACA